GAUGAACGCUGGCGGCAUGCCUAACACAUGCAAGUCGGACGGGCAGAGGUGUUUCUUGCGGCGGUCGGGUGAGCAACGCGCAAGAACCUGACACUGGGAGGGGAACAAUAGCUGGAAACGGUAGCUAAUACCAAGCAGGCCGAGGAGCAAAAGAUGGACUCCGCCAGAGGGGUGGCUCGCGACUGAUUAACUAGCUGGUGAAGCAAUAGCUUACCAAGGCGGUGAACAGACUCGGUUGCGAGAGGGAGAUCGGCCACACUGCGACGGAGACACGCCGCAGGCUACUACGGGAAGCAGGCGAGAGCAAGUUGCCGCAAUGGGGGGUGGGCUAUCAAGGCAUUGGCGCGUGAAGGUAGUAGGACUACGGAUCAUCAACUGCUUAACCCGGUAAAGAAGCCAUGACGGUAUCUGAUGAGUAAGCAUCGGCUAACUCUGUG
rnacentral:rRNA from 1 species